rnacentral:rRNA from 1 species
CAAUAGCGUAUAUUAAAGUUGUUGCAGUUAAAAAGCUCGUAGUUGAAUUUCUGUACAGUCCCAAUUUUGGCUUCGGUCAGGUUGUGGAUUGUGCAUCCGCUUGCAAAUCUAGUUCGGCAUUAACUUGUUGGCUAGGGGAGUAAGCUUUUUACUUUGAAAAAAUUAGAGUGUUUCAAGCAGGCAAUGGCUCGAAUACAUUAGCAUGGAAUAAUGGAAUAGGACUUUUGUCCAUUUGAUUGGUUAUUGGACUUAGGUAAUGAUUAAAAGGGACAGUUGGGGGCAUUAGUAUUUAAUUGUCAGAGGUGAAAUUCUUGGAUUUAUUAAAGACUAACUUAUGCGAAAGCAUUUGCCAAGGAUGUUUUCAUUAA